AAGGGAUUCUGGGAUUGGAGUUAGUAGGGCUGGGAUCCUGUUCAACGAUCGUUCCUAUAGGUCUCCAUAGAAGCUGACAGGGAUUCUGGGAUUGGAGUUAGUAGGGCUGGGAUCCUGUUCAACGAUCGUUCCUAUAGGUCUCCAUAGAAGCUGACAGGGAUGCUGGGAUUGGAGUUAGUAGGGCUGGGAUCCUGUUCAACGAUCGUUCCUAUAGGUCUCCAUAGAAGCUGACAGGGAUGCUGGGAUUGGAGUUAGUAGGGCUGGGAUCCUGUUCAACGAUCGUUCCUAUAGGUCUCCAUAGAAGCUGACAGGGAUGCUGGGAUUGGAGUUAGUAGGGCUGGGAUCCUGUUCAACGAUCGUUCCUAUAGGUCUCCAUAGAAGCUGACAGGGAUGCUGGGAUUGGAGUUAGUAGGGCUGGGAUCCUGUUCAACGAUCGUUCCUAUUGGUCUCCAUAGAAGCUGACAGGGAUGCUGGGAUUGGAGUUAGUAGGGCUGGGAUCCUGUUCAACGAUCGUUCCUAUAGGUCUCCAUAGAAGUUGACAGGGAUGCUGGGAUUGGAGUUAGUAGGGCUGGGAUCCUGUUCAACGAUCGUUCCUAUAGGUCUCCAUAGAAGUUGACAGGGAUGCUGGGAUUGGAGUUAGUAGGGCUGGGAUCCUGUUCAACGAUCGUUCCUAUAGGUCUCCAUAGAAGCUGACAGGGAUGCUGGGAUUGGAGUUAGUAGGGCUGGGAUCCUAUUCAACGAUCGUUCCUAUUGGUCUCCAUAGAAGCUGACAGGGAUGCUGGGAUCCUGUUCAACGAUCGUUCCUAUAGGUCUCCAUAGAAGCUGACAGGGAUGCUGGGAUUGGAGUUAGUAGGGCUGGGAUCCUAUUCAACGAUCGUUCCUAUUGGUCUCCAUAGAAGCUGACAGGGAUGCUGGGAUCCUGUUCAACGAUCG